AGUGAACGCUGGCGGUAGGCCUAACACAUGCAAGUCGAACGGCAGCACAGUAAGAGCUUGCUCUUACGGGUGGCGAGUGGCGGACGGGUGAGGAAUACAUCGGAAUCUACUUUUUCGUGGGGGAUAACGUAGGGAAACUUACGCUAAUACCGCAUACGACCUACGGGUGAAAGCAGGGGAUCUUCGGACCUUGCGCGAUUGAAUGAGUCGAUGUCGGAUUAGCUAGUUGGCGGGGUAAAGGCCCACCAAGGCGACGAUCCGUAGCUGGUCUGAGAGGAUGAUCAGCCACACUGGAACUGAGACACGGUCCAGACUCCUACGGGAGGCAGCAGUGGGGAAUAUUGGACAAUGGGCGCAAGCCUGAUCCAGCCAUACCGCGUGGGUGAAGAAGGCCUUCGGGUUGUAAUGCCCUUUUGUUGGGAAAGAAAAGCAGCAGGUUAAUACCCCGCUGUUCUGACGGUACCCCAAGAAUAAGCACCGGCUAACUUCGUG
rnacentral:rRNA from 1 species